UUUUAAAAUUUUUUUUUUAGGAAAUGCGCAGUGUUUAGUUGAUGUGGGAUUUGCACAUCUUAAGAUUAAAUUCCGUAGACAUGAUUUAGAAAAACAACAACAUCUAGCCGAUGUUACAGAGAAAUCGUCUACAACCAGCAGAGCUGUGGUCAAGGCAGCAAUGGAAACUCAUUCUAGAUAUUUUUCAAGUAUAAGAAAAUUCCAUCACAUUCGGCUCCAGACAGACACACAGGGUGCAAUGAUGGCCAGAAUAACACCCGAAAGCGAGAAACAGUUGAUUCAAGUCUCGCAGUAACCAGGAUUACGUUUCAGUUCAGGUGUACGUCCAUGAAUUAUUACGCCUGCGGGUUUCAAAAAAGCGCAAUAGAUAUUUGGUACAAAGCGUGCGAGCGUUUCUUAGUCAAGACAAUCAGUCAUAUUAUCAGUAAUCUAGGUGCACUGUUAUAACAGUUUAGUGCAUAAACAUAUUUCAAACUACUUCAUGUUCAUCAUACAGCAUUAUUGAAUUGUUUUACAAUUUUCUACUCUGUUUUGUUCUUAAGAAAUAAAAAAGUAAACGUAGAAUUUUGAAAUUAA